ensembl:snRNA U6 U6 spliceosomal RNA
GAGCUCACUUUGGCAGCAUAUAUACUAAAAUUAGAAUGAUACAGAUUAGCAUGGCCCCUGCAUAAGGAUGACAUGCAAAUUCGUGAACCAUUCCAUAUUUUU